GAUGGGAGAAUAACAAAUCAAAAUUUUCCUCUUGAUUUUUAAUUUUUUUCUCUUAAAAAAAUUCAAAUCUAACUAAAAAUGCUAAAAAUCAGUAAAAAGAUUCUGAUUUAUUAUUCUCUUAUU
rnacentral:pre_miRNA from 1 species